rnacentral:misc_RNA from 1 species
GGAAGUAAAAUCGUAACAAGGUUUCCGUAGGUGAACCUGCGGAAGGAUCAUUAUUGUAUAACCGAGGUGCGAGGGCUGUCGCUGACCCGAAAGGUCGUGCACGCCCGAGUGCCCUCACACACAUCCAUCUCACCCCUAUGUGCACCACCGCGUGGGUCCCCCUUUGGCUUGUUCGGAGGGGGGCUUACGUUUUCACACAAACUUUGUAUGCAGUGUAGAAUGUAUUUUCUGUUUUUGCGAUCACGCAAUCAAUACAACUUUCAACAACGGAUCUCUUGGCUCUC